CUCCAGGGCAACCGUGGCUUUCGAUUGUUACUGUGGGAACUGGAGGUAACAGUCUACAGCCAUGGUCGCCCCGCAGCA
rfam:Nomascus leucogenys chromosome 19, whole genome shotgun sequence.